UACGUAGGGGCCAAGCGUUGUCCGGAUUUACUGGGCGUAAAGGGCUCGUAGGCGGCCAACUAAGUCGGAUGUGAAAUCCCCAAGCUUAACUUGGGAACUGCAUCCGAUACUGGAUGGCUUGAAUCCGGGAGAGGUAAGCGGAAUUCCUGGUGUAGCGGUGAAAUGCGUAGAUAUCAGGAGGAACACCUGCGGUGUAGACGGCUUGCUGGACCAUCACUGACGCUGAGGCACGAAAGCGUGGGUAGCAAACAGG
rnacentral:rRNA from 1 species